rnacentral:rRNA from 1 species
AGUGAACGCUGGCGGUAGGCCUAACACAUGCAAGUCGAGCGGCAGCACAGUAAGAGCUUGCUCUUACGGGUGGCGAGUGGCGGACGGGUGAGGAAUACAUCGGAAUCUACUUUUUCGUGGGGGAUAACGUAGGGAAACUUACGCUAAUACCGCAUACGACCUACGGGUGAAAGCAGGGGAUCUUCGGACCUUGCGCGAUUGAAUGAGCCGAUGUCGGAUUAGCUAGUUGGCGGGGUAAAGGCCCACCAAGGCGACGAUCCGUAGCUGGUCUGAGAGGAUGAACACCCACAUGGGAACGGAGACCGGGUCCAGCCUCCUAGGGGGGGAGGCGGGGGGGAAUUUGGAACAAGGGGCCAAGGCGUAACCCGGCAAACCCGGGGGGGGAAAGAGGCCUUUCGGUUUGUAAACCCUUUUUGUGGGAAAAGAAAAGCAGCGGUUUAUUACCCCGCUUUUCUGCGGGUACCAAAAAAAUAAGCCCCGGCUAACUUCGUG